UGAAAUUAUGUAUUGCUUCAAAAGACGGUUAUAAAUAAAAGCGUGGUGUGACUGUGAAAAACUUUGAGCGCCAAUCUUCCCACCAUUUAGUGGUGCCAGUUUUCACCCCAAACCCUAAGCUUUAGCUUCAUCUGAUAACAAGAAAGUUAGAACAUAUAUUGGUUGGUACAACGGAUGAGUCUAAAACUGUGGUAUGAAUGAAGUCAAUUAGCAAGAGAGAAAUUAGAAAUAUGUCCCCCCAAAGCGCAAACCCAAAAUUCAAAAUUUGAACAUUUGGACAACAUGAUUGUAUGAGGGCUUGUCCAUUAACUCAAGAGCCCGUGUCCACGCCCGUGUCCAUGCCCUAAACGAGGGGUUGCCCUCUACACUCGGGCAAAAAAUUAAAACCCUCUUCGACAUAUCUAGCCUUUCUCUCUAUCUUCGACAACUUUCUUCCUUGGCCUUUCUCUCGACAACUUGUAUUCAACAAAACCAUUCCUCUACAAACUGCGACCCCGACCACGACCAUCACUCGUCGACAAAACCUGACCCCGACCGCAACCAUCACUCUUCGACAAUGCUAAUAUUAGAACCAACUCUGCUUCAAGGGUUCUUCAAAUCGCUUCCCUUUCCCUUCCCAUUGCUGUAGGGUUCUUCAGAUCUCUUGGCGGUGGUGAUUGUUGCUUUAUUUGGUUGCUUGUGGCUUCAAUUGGCUUCGAUUCGGCAGUGGCUGUAGCUUUGGACGUUGAGGUUGGUCACGUGAGAGGUUGAAAUUGAGUUCUGGCGACUAUAGAUCUGAAUCGAACUCUCAACUCAAUUUUCUUCUGAGGCAGCAUAGGUACCUUUCCUUCAACAACGACGAGGCCAGAUCCCCAUUCAUUCAUUGCUGAAUUCGAAAUCCCCAAUUUUCUAGGGUUUCAAUUUUCAACCUCAACCCCCAAACCAUGGCCUUAUUCAAGAAGGCUCAGGUCAUGGACUAAACUUGGAGUUAUGACAGCUUCUCAGCGCAAUAUAAGAUUUGUAGAAAGGCAAAAGGGGAGGAAGUUUCGGAAGUGGAGGGUUUUGUUUUGGGUUGUUUACUAUCUCUGUUUGCCUUGCUUUAUGGUGAGUGACUCCUAUAUCUGAAUUUGUGUUUUCCUUGAGAAUAAGCUUUUCUUGAUUUUGUAUUUACUGUUUUCAUUAUGCUCUUUGUGAGAUUGGUCUUGUGAAUGUGAGGUUUCGUAUUCAAUGUUCUAUGAAUUUUUGGUUGUGGACUAAGAUGGUGAUUUCUGAUUGUUUCUACAUCUCUAGUUUCCCACAUGUUAUUUCGGACUAGUAAGGGUGAGCAAUUGCUCAGUGAAGUUUGUUUUGUUUCCUUCUGACACUUUGGUGUUAGAAAUUGGGUGUUUUUGGUUCUACGAUGCCUAUCAAAUGUGGUGUCAAUCCUCUAUUUUCUUUUGUACUUGGAAUUGAUGUGAACUGUUUUGGGAUUAGUUUUGGAUAUUGUAUUUGUUAGAAGUGUUCUUCAAUUUAUUAUUAACCUUUGAAAUUAGGUUGGUGUGACAGUUUUUGAGUUCGGUAAUUAUGUGAUUAAGGGAAUGUUUGUUUCUUUUCCCUCAAUUCUUAUGGGGUUUAGAUUUUAUUGCAAAAAGCUCAGUUUUGUGAUUAUAUUUCUAAGGUCAGAGGACUUUUGAGUCUUAUGUUGGCUGUUUAUCGAAUUGACGUUGGUGGAAAAGUUGAAUUCCAAUUGUGUGUGACUUCAAGUUAGAACUGAUAGUAUUUAGUUGUUGUUACUUUGAUUUAUUAGCGUUUCCAAUCUUGUAAAGCUAUUUUGGGAUGGGUUGUCGAUUAUACUUUGAAGAGUAGUGUGUUUUGGUUUAAUUUGACAUUCUGACAUAGUCAAAGGAGAAGUCGAGAACCUGUUAUUUCGUUCUCUUUAUUUGAUCUUUAUGUUCUGCUUGUGGUCUUGCAAUUAUCUAUGUUAAGAGCUUUUUGAGAAUAUACAUUUCUGUUAUAUUUGUGAACCAUAUUAGUCUUAUUAGAAGCUUCAAUUCAUUGGUGUCACUUGCAUCGGAUUCAUUCUUUUCUUCUUGAUUUUGUUGUUGGGUUUUAAGCGUCUCGGCAUAUGGCUUCUGGUGGUUAGUAGUGAAAUCAGAUCUCUAAAAUGUAAUGCUAGAAGAAGUCGGCAUAUGUCUAUUCUGUAGCUUAGAUGCUUUUUAUAAGUCGACGUUGUGCAAAAUUAAUAUGUUUUUGAUGGUUGAUAUGAUUUCCUUCUGCAUCAGGCUAUGUCAAGAAUGCCAAACUUUGAUUGAAAACCAUUCUAAGAUAAAGCUUCUCAGCAAUGUGAGGAAUAACUUGAAUACAACCUUAAAGGUUUAUGAACUUUGUUCUUAUGAAUUUUCAAUUUUCGGUUCACAAAGAGAAGGAGAUUGUGCCUGGUUAGAACUGUUUGCUUCAUGCAAGAAUGAUAAUUGAUGAAUACUUUUCAGUUUUCAUUAUGUCUUAUUAUCGAGUUCAUGAAUUAUGAUUUGAAGAUUACAGUGGCCAAAAAACCUGAUCAUUUUUUAUGAAAAGGUAUGGGGAUUAUACAAUGAUUAUAUUUUUACCUAUAUAUGGCAGUGAUAAAACAGUUAACUGAAUUGUUUGCUUGAUCUAGAAAAAGGCGAGUGGUAAAGCAAGUAGGAAGCAAAAAAGGAAUCAGUUUAGCCCAUAUUCAGAUGCUGAGUUUGACUUGCAGUCACUCCCAUCUAGCUUGCAAGCCUCAUUGAAAAAGUUAUGUGAGUGGGGAAAAGAAGGGUUCAAAGAUGGGAAAGCCAUUUGUUUUUAUAAAGAAGAGCCCAUAUUUGGUUAUCAUGAUAAGAGCUUUCUACUUGACGUAGAAGUUAUGAGGCUUGCACACAUGGCACAAGUAACAUCAAGCUGCAUAGUGGUGCAUUUAAGGUACUUGCAUGAUGUAUUAAAACAAUGUAAAAUGCAAGACAUGUAUCAAAGUCUGAGGACAGUGACAAAGUUUGCACAUAAAAGUUUUAUGGUUGCUGCUGGUUUCUAACGUGUUAUUGUUGAAUGUGUGUGAGUUUAAAAUUAUGAUUUGAAACUGUCAACAGUGGGCUAGGAGAGCCAACCAUACUUAUGGUCAAGCGGAACUUGAUGAAGUGCGUAAUGAGAUUGCAAAUUAUGUGAUCAAGAACCUGCUAAAGCUGUGAAGUGUUGGUCUUUUUGGGGUACAGUAAAAUAUGCAACAUCUCAAGUGCAUGCGUUAGGCUAGAUGUUGGUCCUUUUUGGGUUGGCCUGAAUUGCAUGUCCUCUAUAGAUGAGAUUAUGUAAGACGAGACUAUUUUAGCCACAUUUGUGGAUUUAUUUUGCUAUUGGAGAUCCGUAGACGUGAUCAUUUCCGUUUUGUGGAUAAAAUUACCAUUAUUGGAUCCAUUUGUGGGAUUAUAAUAGCUAUUUAUUAUGACAGGAUUACUGGUCAUUUUGUCAA